GGGGAUCUGGCUAAAAAAAAUUCAAAAAAAUAAAAAUUUAAAAAUAUCUCUAAAUUAUGAGAAAUUUUGUGGAAUACUUAUUUAUAACUUGUAAAGCGUGGAUUACUUUUUUAUUCUCAAGUUGUAGGCGUGAUUUCUUGAUUUUCUUCCAUUCUCGGAUUCUCCUACAAGUUACACAAAGUAUAUUAAAACAUAAUAGAUAUCACAUAACUACAUAAGUAAAAGAGUUAGACAUAUAAAGAUAAAGAAAACAUACCUUUUAGGCUUUUACUGGUUUUGUCGAAGAACUUGACAUGAACAUAGAGAAUAAAAGACGUAAUUAUCAUUUAGCAUUCCUCUCACAAGUCACAAAUUAUAAAGAGUUAGCCAUUCUCAUUAAGUCAAUCAAAUAAGCAUGAGCACCAAAAAGGCCAAAAUAAACUACAAUUACAAUCACCAUUCCCCAUACAAAGUUACAUUAACAUUGAACUAUAUAAACUAAUAAAAAGUAGGAAAGUAUAACUAUUAAGUUUUAGCAUUUGAACAAUAAUAUUUAGCAUUCUUCCUCACUAUUUUCAAGAUCAAUUUCUUACACAUCUUCAACCUCUUCUUCAAAGAUGACUCCUUCUAAGUGAGGCUCAUCUAUUGAUAAGUCAACUAGAUCACCGGUGGCUUCAUCAACAUCAAAACGAUCUCCACCUGAAGCAAAAUUAAAAUAAAAAUGAUUUAAAAUAUUAAAAAAUAUAUAAAAUCAAGAAAACAUAGAUUAUAGACAUACCCACAUCCCAAUACUUGCUUGGGCCACUUGUAUAUUUUUUGUUUUUGACGAGAAAGCAAGCGAAAAUUGUAGUGCACAAAAACUAGAUCUUCGGCUCUUGAAGUCUCUGACUUGUUUCUUUUGAUGUUAUGGAUCAACAAAUAGGUGCUCCAAUUCCUUUCGCAACAAGAAGAAGAAGCCGAUUGUGAAAGCAAUUUGUAAGCCAAGCUUUGCAAAAGUGGAGCGUUUACACCAUGGUUAGCCCACCAAGAUACAUGCUCCUCAUACAUCAUAGCCUCAACCACAUGAGGCUCACUAAAAGAACCACUCCCACUUGCGAAUGCUCCGUACUCCAAAGACGCUUGUUUUAGAUCAUUUGAAUAUUUAAAGUAUCUUUGGAAGCAUUUAACCCUAUUUAAAGAAAUCUCUUUAUCCUCAUUGGGAGCAAGCUUUCGAACCCCAUUGCCUUUUUUAAGCCAUGAUUCGUGGUAAUUUUUGGUACCAAUGAAUGUGUCAUACAAUGUAAAAGAGUGUUACUCUUAUUCCACCUAGCAACAAGAAUUUCUUGAAUUGUAUCAAAAAAGUCUGAUUGCCCGAUAAUAAGAUCUUCUCCUUCUCAAAGAUAAUUGCCUUCACAUUUUCGAUCAUUAUAUCCCACAUAUUAUAAACAAGACGCAACUUUAGAGCAUUAAGAUUGGCACUUCUAAACAUAGACACAAUUGAUUACGUAAACUUUAAAAAGUAUUCAAUCUUAUCCCACCAUCCGUCAUUCAUUACAAAGGAUUUUAUUUCACGCAUUUUAGCUUCAAUCACUUUAUCUCCCUUAUAAUUUUUCCGAUCAUCAUCCAUCACCAUUCUUUCCAAUGAUGCUUUUACUUGAUGAACACGACUAGUCAUGACAACAUGAGAUGCAAAUCUCGUUUCGGCAACUUUCAACAAAGACAACGCCGAAUGCUUUUGAAAAAGAGCAUGAGCCGUAUCAUAAUUCAACACAAAAAUUUUCAAGCUACUAACUUCAAUAAUCAAAUCUAAAAUCCAUUUGCAAUUCACAAAUUGAGUUGAUUUUUUGGAAGUUUGCACAUACUUUUUAGUGCAAGGUUCAAACAAUGAACAACACAUGGUGUCCAAAAUAUAUGUGGAAAAGUUUGCUCAGAACCGGCAAGCUUCAUAUUACUUGCAUUAUCGAUGAUAACUUGAACAACAUUACUUGCAUCGAUUACUUGAACAACAUUAAAUCAAUUGAAGAGGUUGGUGCAAGUAAUGAUAUGGCUCAUGCUCUUUUUCAAAAGUAUUCGACUUUGUCUUUGUUGAAAGUUACCGAAACGAGAUUUGCAUCUCAUAUUGUCAUCACUAGUCGUGUUCAUCAAGUGAAAGCAUCAUUGGAAAGAAUGGUGAUGGAUGAUGAUUGGAGAAAUUAUAAGGGAGAUAAAGUGAUUGAAGCUAAAACGCGCCAAAUAAAAUCCCUUGUAAUGAAUGACGGAUGGUGGGAUAAGAUUGCGUACUUUUUAAAGCUUACGGAACUAAUUGUGUCUAUGCUUAGAAGUGCCGAUCUUGAUGCUCCAACGUUGCAUCUUGUUUAUGAUAUGUAGGAUACAAUGAUCGAAAAGGUGAAGGCAAUUAUCUUUGAGCAAGAGGGGAAGGAUCAUAUUAUCGGGCAAUCAGACCUUUUUGAUACAAUUCAAGAAAUUCUUUUUGCUAGGUGGAAUAAGAGUAACAUUCCUUUACAUUAUAUGACACAUUCAUUGGUACCCAAAUACUACCACGAAUCAUGGCUUAAAAAAGGCAAUGGGGUUCGAAGGCUUGCUCCCAAUGAGGAUAGAGAGAUUUCCUUAAAUAGGGUUAAAUGCUUCCAAAGAUACUUUAAAUAGAUCUAAAACAAGCGUCUUUGGAGUAUGGAGCAUUCGCAAGUGGGAGUGAUUUUUUUAGUGAGCCUCAUGUGGUUGAGGCUAUGAUGUAUGAGGUGUCUCUAUCUUGGUGGGCUAACCAUGGUGUAAACGCUCCACUUUUGCAAAGCUUUGCUCUCACAACCGGCUUCUUCUUCUUAUUGCGAAACGAAUUGGAGAACCUAUUUGUCGAUCCAUAGCAUCAAAAGAAACUAGUUAGAGACUUCAAGAGUCGAAGAUCUAGUUUUUGUGCACUACAAUCUUCGCUUGCUUUCUCGUCAAAAAGAAAAAAUAUAUAAGUGGCCUAAGCAAGUAUUGGGAUGUCGGUAUGUCUAUAAUCUAUGUUUUCUUGAUUUUAUAUUUUAAAUCAUUUAUAUUUUAAUUUUGCUUUAGGUAAAGAUCGUUUUGAUGUUGAUGAAGCCACCGGUGAUCUAGUUGACUUAUCAAUAGAUGAACCUCAACCAGUGUUUUAAAAAGCGACGGAGCAAUUGCUUUAAUCGAGAAGCGACGCGAAGCAAUGGCUGCUCGCUUUUCCAUGCCUGAGGCGAAUCGACCACACGAAGCGCUCGCUUCAGUCGAAAAAGAGCAAAGCGACCUUGAAGCGCAGAAUCGCUCGCUUCUGUUCAGAGGGGUCAGUUUUUUUAAAAAAAAAAAAGUUGGGUCUGUUUUUUUAUUAUACAAAACAGACCCCUAAGACCAAAGUGAAGACCAUUUUUCUCUUCUUCCCAAAUCAAUUGUUGUUGAGUGCUGCUAGGGUUCAAGUCGCCAGAGACCUCCAAUCCUCCAGUUCUUCGACAAAACCAGUAAAAGCCUAAAAGGUAUGUUUUCUUUAUCUUUAUAUAUCUAACUCUUUUACUUAUAGAGUUAUGUGAUAUCUAUUAUCUUUUAAUAUACUUUGUGUAACUUGUAGGAGAAUAUGGAAGAAAAACAAAAAAUCACGCCUACAACUUAGAAUAAAAAAGAAAUCCACACUUUACAAGCUAUAGGUAAGUAUUCUACAAAAUUUCUUAUAAUUUAGAGAUAUUUUUAUUUUUAGGCGGAUCCCUGCACCCGUGUCGGUUCUAGGAUCCGAAUCUUAAAAUUUACAUCUCAAAUGAUCCGUACCCAUGUCAUAGCAACUUAUGUGAAGAGUAUAUUUUGAGAAUGUAGAAUACAUCCUUGUACAAAUGCUCUUUUGUGUUUCUGACUUAAGAUAUGGGAAGCCCAUGUUACUGGAUGGUAGAAAAACUGAAUGGAAAUAGAAGCCAGCAGCACUGCUAGGUCAAUGUUAUCAAGUUGUUAAUGUACCAUCGGAAGGCAGGAUACUGGUAAGUGACAUCUUCCAUCAUAUUUGGAACAAAGCCUGUUUAGCUGGAUCCCCUAUCGGUAUGGUUGCUCAACAAUGCUGAUCAAUACUUUUCUUGUCGCCUGGGGUUUUGAAUAUCUUCAUAUUCUUGCAUAGCGCAGAAGUGAAUUGGAUACCUCUUUGAAAUUAUUCAUUGAAAUUGAUAAAGCAUAUUUUUACUGGCAGGAGACUCCUGCAAAUAUACGAUACCAUAUUUGAGUCAAAAAAUGAGGUUUAGCUAAGCUGGUAUGAUACCAUAUUUAAGUCAGCUAACCUGCUAUGGGUUCUUAUUUAAGUUACCGGUCCCUGAACAGCAGUCAGUUUCACUGCACAAAGAAGGUCGAUCCCAGUUCAUUGAAUGCAUUCGUGUAUACAAAAUUUGCAAGGCUUCUCGAGUG